rnacentral:rRNA from 1 species
CAGUCGCGCGGUAAUACGUAGGUGGCAAGCGUUGUCCGGAAUUAUUGGGCGUAAAGGGCUCGCAGGCAGUUUCUUAAGUCUGAUGUGAAAGCCCCCGGCUCAACCGGGGAGGGUCAUUGGAAACUGGGAAACUUGAGUGCAGAAGAGGAGAGUGGAAUUCCACGUGUAGCGGUGAAAUGCGUAGAGAUGUGGAGGAACACCAGUGGCGAAGGCGACUCUCUGGUCUGUAACUGACGCUGAGGAGCGAAAGCGUGGGGAGCGAACAGGAUUAGAUACCCGGGUAGUCCCUGUCUCUUAUACA